UGAGGAAUAUUGGUCAAUGGGCGAUGGCCUGAACCAGCCAAGUAGCGUGAAGGAUGACUGCCCUAUGGGUUGUAAACUUCUUUUAUAAAGGAAUAAAGUCGGGUAUGCAUACCCGUUUGCAUGUACUUUAUGAAUAAGGAUCGGCUAACUCCGUGCCAGCAGCCGCGGUAAUACGGAGGAUCCGAGCGUUAUCCGGAUUUAUUGGGUUUAAAGGGAGCGUAGAUGGAUGUUUAAGUCAGUUGUGAAAGUUUGCGGCUCAACCGUAAAAUUGCAGUUGAUACUGGAUGUCUUGAGUGCAGUUGAGGCAGGCGGAAUUCGUGGUGUAGCGGUGAAAUGCUUAGAUAUCACGAAGAACUCCGAUUGCGAAGGCAGCCUGCUAAGCUGCAACUGACAGUGAGGCUCGAAAGUGUGGGUAUCAAACAGG
rnacentral:rRNA from 1 species